UGCAGGAAAUACAGGGAAAAUGAGGAAUAGACGAAGAAAGCUUAGAAGGGGUAUUGUUUAUCCCAUCCCAUUCUUCCACCAAUACAAGCAACAAAUACCCUUAAAAACUUCAGAAGGACUGCAUGCCUAUCACAAAACAAGAAAGGAGGGAGAACAUUUGAAAAUAAAGGGUCUGUUUAAUAAAUGAAAAUACAAAAAAAAAAAAGAGUAGAGAAGAGGACAACUACUAGAAAAUAAAACUAACAGAGAAUUUUAGUUAGGAUGCAGCUACACGGGAUAGAUGAAAAUGAAAACAGUGUUCCGGAAGUCAAGCUCACUGCAACCUUGACCUGCUGGGCUCAAGUGAUGCUCCCACCUUGGCCUCCCAAGUAGCUAGUACUACAGGUAUACAGCUUCACUACCAUUGUCUCUAUCACCAUGAUCAACAAUAAGACGAAAGAAAGAAAAAGAAAGAAAGAAAGAAAGAAAGAAAGAGAAAGAGAGUGAGAGACAGAGAAAGAAAGUAGAAAGAAAGAAAAAGAACGAAAAAGAAAGAAAGAAAAGAAAGAAAGAAAGUUGUCUAAAGCCAUUUUUCAUCCUUCUUAUAGAAGAAAACACUGGUUUUGGAAUAUUCUUUAAUUUAAAAGGUUCUUGGUGGAGGAAGAGAUUAUUAAAAUUACCAAGAGAACCUAACAUUAUUGAAGGAAAACAGAAGAGAAAAAAAUGAUCAGCAAGUAACUAAAGCAAUAAUGCAGCUACAAUAUACUGCAUGCAUACAAAGUUCUGGGCACUGUGCAUUAGUACUAAUUUGUUCAUUCACUUAUUCCAAAAACAGCUGAGUCCUAACUCUGUGCCAGCCACUGUAAUCACCCAUCUCCAGAUCUGUUAGCUUUUUUCUCACAUUCCGCCUUGACCUUAGCCAGCUCAGCAGUUCUAUGAAGUUUUAGAAAAGUCAAGACCAUUUGCUUUAAAAGGGAAAGGAAACCUGGUUAAUAACCUGCAGAUAUGGACCAUUCACCUGACUGCCACCUGGGAUUGCACGCUGUCCAC
rnacentral:lncRNA from 10 species